rnacentral:pre_miRNA from 1 species
UCCUAUGAAUGAGCAAAGAAAGUGGUUUCUUUAAUUGAAAUCUACUUUUGAUGAAGAUGCUGUGAG